GGACAGAUGAAAGGUCUCUGCGACAGUAUCAUGAUAUUGAUGUCUAAGUAUUCUGCAAGCCAGCAGGCAGGGGAGGUGACAUCGCCUGUCUCGGCGGCAACAGCGUUAGAGCUGAUGGCGUCGGCACCGGCGCCGGAUGAGGCGGAGGGACCGGCGAAAGAGGCAGCACAGGCAAAGCUGUUCGGGGUGGUGAUAGGGGCAAAGCGGGCAUGGG
rnacentral:misc_RNA from 1 species